rnacentral:rRNA from 1 species
CAGUCGCCACGUUAAUACGGAGGGUGCAAGCGUUAAUCGGAAUUACUGGGCGUAAAGCGCACGCAGGCGGUCUGACAAGUCAGAUGUGAAAUCCCCGGGCUUAACCUGGGAACUGCAUUUGAAACUGUCAGGCUGGAGUCUUGUAGAGGGGGGUGGAAUUCCAGGUGUAGCGGUGAAAUGCGUAGAGAUCUGGAGGAAUACCGGUGGCGAAGGCGGCCCCCUGGACAAAGACUGACGCUCAGGUGCGAAAGCGUGGGGAGCAAACAGGAUUAGAUACCCCAGUAGUCCCUGUCUCUUAUAC